UACGUAGGGUGCAAGCGUUAAUCGGAAUUACUGGGCGUAAAGCGUGCGCAGGCGGUUGUGCAAGACAGAUGUGAAAUCCCCGGGCUCAACCUGGGAAUUGCAUUUGUGACUGCACGGCUAGAGUGUGUCAAGGGGAGGGUAGAAUUCCACGUGUAGCAGUGAAAUGCGUAGAGAUGUGGAGGAAUACCGAUGGCGAAGGCAGCCCCCUGGGAUAACACUGACGGCUCAGGCACGAAAGCGUGGGGAGCAAACAGGG
rnacentral:rRNA from 1 species